CCCCUGCCGUGUUCGUGAUUGGGAGAAACGCUUUGACCCAACACUUCACAUUUGGGAGCUGUCCCUGGUUUCGGUGAGCAAGUUCUGCUUGUACAGAAAAGCCUAAAGAUUCCAAAUGGCUUCCCCUUUGAACCGCUGGUUCAAAGACCUCUCAACACGGCACAGUG
rnacentral:other from 1 species